rnacentral:rRNA from 1 species
UACAGAGGGUGCAAGCGUUAAUCGGAAUUACUGGGCGUAAAGCGUGCGUAGCCGGUUAUUUAAGUCAGGUGUGAAAGCCCCGGGCUCAACCUGGGAAUUGCAUUUGAGACUGAAUAGCUAGGGUGCGGAAGAGGGAAGCGGAAUUUCCGGUGUAGCGGUGAAAUGCGUAGAGAUCGGCAGGAAGACCAAGGGGGAAGCCAGUCACCUGGGCCCGCGCUGACACUCAUGGACGACCGCGUGGGGAGCGAACCGG